rnacentral:piRNA from 1 species
UAGGUUUUGAUAUUGCAGUUGAAUGCUUCU